UGAUAGGAGAUAAAAGCAAUUGAUAAAUGAAUUAUCAGAAGGUUUCUACAGACGUCCUGGUAAAUCACCAGUGCGGGGUUGAAAGAGUCAAGUCGGGCCUCGGUAUGUUUAAGGAUCAAACAUAUGUUUACAACCCACUUUUGAUGUAUGAAUUAUGGGUUAUCUAAAUAAGUUGUUUUGAUGUAAACUUACUCAACUUAUCAAAUAAAUAUAUAAUGUGAAAUUUUAA